CUGUCCUUCAGGGGGAGUGCCAGCUCACUGCAUCUGGGAGCGAGUCUGUGCUAGAACUGGGUCUCAUCUGGGGUCAACAGUGGCCCAUCUGGACAGGGCAGCAGUUGGCUCCAACUCCUGUCUGUGCAUAAUAUGGCUGACAGCAUGGCCCUUGUUGGCAAAGUGGAAGGUGAUCAGACAGAACUGCAGCCAGCACUGCUGCCUGAGCAUGACAGGGCUGGAAAGGCCCCCUGCUUAACUGGAAAGCUGGUCCUGACUCCCUCCUGGGGCCACAUGCAGUUUCACCUGUUGCCAGCGUGAGGCUGUGCUGGGAGCCCCUCCCUUGGGUGGGUGCUUGUGGGGCAGAGUGUUUGCUGUCAGAGAAAAAUCAGACUUAGGAGAAAUGACAUGAGCAGGAUGGAGAUCCCAGUGCGGGUGUGGGGAGGACAGGACAGCAACAGGAAAUGGUUUCAGAGUAUCUGAGUUGGAGGAAAUAAUUUUUCAUCUCCCUGAAAUGCUAAUUCCUCAAGAUGCUAAAACAAGAGGCCCAGAUUUCAUGAGCAUUCAAGUCCCUUUCCGCCUUGACUUUCUGCAAAUCUUCCAGAGAACUGCCUGGCAUCCAAGAUUAACUCUGAUGCAGGAAAGACAUGCAGUACAGAGACAAAGCUCUGAAAGGUGAUUUUUAUCUCCCACACAUUGGAGAGGAGACUAACUGUGUGACGGAUGAGGGACACUCCUCAGUCUACUCACUCAAUAAAGGAAACCUAGGCCAGAGGCAGAGGCCUUUCUUUCCAUUAAAAAAAAAAAAUACGGAGGGGCAUCUACUAUCACUGACCACAGCUGGUUUUGCAAUAAAAAUCUGGAAAACAAGGGCCACUUUCUUGGAUUCCCCAGUUUAGUUAAACCAGCAUUUGGCCUGUUGGUAUACAUACUUCAGAAAGGGAUCUGCAGCAGCAGUAGAAGGGAGGAAGAAUGAGACCAAAAGAACUACAUGUGAAUCAUCUGCUAAUAAAGAAAAGGGGAAAGAACAGCCCUCCAUGGGCAAAAACUUCUACCACGAACAUUUAUUUCUGUUAAAGCAGAUUAUAAAUUCUCAUCGGUACAAAUAUAUAUAACUUACAUUUGAUUGUAAGGCCAACGUUCAAAAGUAAAAAUGAGAUGGGAUCUCAUGUUCUCCAAGGUCAGGUGGCUGCGACUGGCAAUGGGACAUUCUGCUUACUGAAGGGGGCACACACGAGACUAUGGAAACCGGAACCCCCAUCCCACAAAACUCGUGAGGGCAACAUUUAAAGGGCAGGACAAAACCCACCCAGACCCACAUUACACACCAACACAGUAGCCCGCGCUCCUUCUUGUGGUAUGACUUAGUGUUAAAACAAGUAAAGGAUUAACAUAGGGAAACUGCAGCAAUACAUAAAAGGUAAUAUUCUCUACAGAGCAUAUUUAGGUCAAAUCCAUUGAAGUAAUGACAUUAGAAUUCUAUCAUAGGUUUAAAGCCAGGACAAUACUGCUCUUUCGUUUUCUUUAUUUAAAACCUAGUGACUGUAUUGAUCAUAAGCAUGAUUGUUGUUGCAAUGUACUACUUACAGUGAAUGGCAGCGAACAAGCUAGGGAUCUGCCUGCAACUUCCAGCCUUUCCUCUUCCUCUUCCCCCUCUUCCUCCUCAUCCUCCUCCGUAGGCAUCAAUAAUAAAUCAAUCUUAUGUACAAUUUCUUACAACUAACCCUUUACCUUUGGCAAGAUUACUUACAACUCUUUAAUAUUAAGAACUAUUUAAAAUAUUCUAAGUGCAUAAAAAUAAAGAUUUUGGCUUUUUUGAUAUAUACUUAUAAUAUUUAUUCUGUUACUCAAAAUGGAAGCGUGACUUCACCCCCAAAUAUAGCUCUGCUGGGCGGCUGCUGAUGUGCCCUCCCAAGAACACUGGCGACACAGCCAGCCUCUCUGUCCCGGCCUGAGCAGAGACCAUGCCGUUCUUGUAAGUCUCUGGGACCAAGGAGGCAGAUACACGGCCUGAAGACAAAGGGAGAUUGUUUCGCUUCCUGUUGUGUUGUAUAUUCCAGUAAAUGUGCUUUGCAUACGGA